UCCAGGAGGAAUCUAUUUAGAGACUAUGCCGUUAUCUUUAAGAUAUUCUAAAAUUUUUUGAUUAAAAUAUUCACCUCUUCGAUCAGAUCGAAGAACCUUAAUGGGUUUGUCUAUUUGUUUCUCUACUUAAUUUUUGAAUUUUUUAAAUUUUUUAAAAGUUUCAAACUUAUGUCUCAUAAGAAAUACAUAUCCGUACCAU
rnacentral:lncRNA from 1 species